rnacentral:tRNA from 1 species
UUCCCUGUGGCUUAGUUGGUAGAGCAUGGUGUUUGCAAUGCCAGGGUUGUGGGUUCAAUUCCCAGUACAAAAA